CUUAACCUCUCCCUGAUGUCACAAUCAGUACACUUCAUAAAUGCACUGACUAAUGUCCCCAGCAGUACAGUCCUUAAGUGUGAUUGAUGACUUGUUCUGUGACUAUAAAAGGUUUAUGUGACCACGUGCCCAGGCCAUGGCCACUGUUUGACUCAGAAUAACCCACCUCUUGCCGCCUUUGGACCACAGCUGGGUUUCAUACAUCACACACCUACCUCCAUGCACAAGAACAUUCCCAGGAGAGAAAAGACUCACCAGGAAGCCGGGACAAGGACAUAUAAUGGAAAACCACUGCUUCGGGGACUUGUAAAUGAACCCCUGCCACCCUCAGAUCCUAGCAGCCACACCCCACAGCUAUGGCCUUCCUGGGCAGCAGGCUUCCGAGUGACAGCAAACUAUAACAAGGUAAGACAGACGACGAUGACAGCACACUGGAAACGGACAAAAGCAACGGAAGGAAAAAGCCCCCAAGUGAGGGCGAGAAUCAGGCACCGGCUUGCUCGCACACCCCGGAACCAUGAAAACACUAAACUGGGAGCCGCAAUGUAAGCACAGAGGACCUCACGCAGACCCUGAACACCCGCCCAGUCUCUGGCGAGCCAGGUUGUCUCUCCUGGACUCCUAGACGCUGCGAGCCCCCCAACCUGAAGAGCACGCUCUGCUGUCUGUCUGCUGAGUCUUUGUAGCUGAUAUUUGCUAUUCAUUCUUUUUUUUUUUUUUUUUUUG